CCAGUUCGGUCCAAUAAUGACCUAGUCUGGGGGAGAGAGAGCUCUCCGUUCCACUAUGAAUGAUUCAACUUAAUUACAAAGAUUCAAUCACAAAGAGUUACAAGAUUUAGAGUUUUCCUAAAUCUACCCUUUUCCCGAAUCUCUUCCCGUGACCAAGAGAUUCAAUCAAUAAGUGUUUCUAAGGUGUUACAAUCACUUCCCCAACCCUAGAGAUUACCC
rnacentral:lncRNA from 1 species